rnacentral:rRNA from 1 species
UACGUAGGGGGCUAGCGUUGUUCGGAAUUACUGGGCGUAAAGCGCGCGCAGGCGGUUCUUUAAGGUAGAGGUGAAAGCCCAGAGCUCAACUCUGGAAUGGCCUUUGAGACUAGAGAACUAGGGUACGGGAGAGGUGAGUGGAAUUCCGAGUGUAGAGGUGAAAUUCGUAGAUAUUCGGAAGAACACCAGUGGCGAAGGCGGCUCACUGGCCCGUUACCGACGCUCAGGCGCGACAGCGUGGGGAGCAAACAGG